AUGAAAGUGACCCACCACGUUGGAAUAGAGGACAUUUGUAUCGUCACGUGCCUCAACAGUAUGAGCUGGUCUGGGGAAGCAGUCAGCCCUGCCCUUCAAACUGCGAUUGCAUCCAUGUGUGCUGCACAGGUUUUUUGUUCACUGGGUGAUCUUGAACUGGCCUUGCUAAAAGCUUCCCUGACAUUUCCAAAGGAGAUAAAUCUACCUAAAACCCUGGGAAGCAGAAGUGCUCCUCUGUUUGAAGGCAGUGAAUGA
rnacentral:lncRNA from 1 species